AUAAUGAAAAAAACUAAAAGAAAUUCAUUCAUGGGAGAAGAUCUGUGGAGCAUCACAAACCGAAGGAGAAUUAAACGAAGAGAAAAAGAAAAAUGCCAAACAAAGAGAGCAAGAGACAAUCUACUGAACCAGGAGAGAAACAGACACAGAGACUAACCAGAACAAACAGCAUCAAAAGUGGAAAACCAAACUUUUCUGAUGAUCCAGACAGUUUUAUUCAGAGAGACUCUCAGACGAGACAGGAGCAGCUCCUUUCACCAGACCAGCAGAAUAUACUUUAUAUUCAGUCUCUAACUAAACACUGCUUUUUUUUAGAUAGUUUGUUGUAUUUUUGUGUUACUGUAUAUUCAAAAUAUUAUAGACCUACUGUAUAUAACAAGCCAAUAUCAACUAAUAUCAACUUCAUUCACUGUACAAUUUUACACUGUAUAAAACUAAGAACUGGAGCAUUAUCUGGAAUACUAUUGUUGAAAUUUACUAGCAAUUUGUUUUACUGUAUGAUGCUAUGUUUCUAAAACUAUUACAAUAUUUCAUAGUGACAAAAAUGUAUGUUUAAAAAAAAGUGUAUUUUAUAAAACUAAUUUUAUGAUUUUUAUUGCAAUACAUCUGUAUAUACUGAUAAAAAAUAAAAUAUUUUUCUCUUCAAUAUUUUGAUUUUGU
ensembl:lncRNA